UUAACACCCAAAUAUAAAACGCUUGCAUCUCUCUGAAUUCUUCUAAUCGAUCACUAAUAUCAUGGAUUCUAAAGCAUAGAGGAAGUUCAUUCAUGAAGCAAUUUUGUAUUGAGUUGUGAAUGAAUUUUCCUUUGUGUUUAAGAAUUCGUGACACUUCCAUAGGAGCUGCGUCGCCGGUAAAUUUCUUACAGUGGAGGGUUCCGCAGAGAGCAAGGAAGUUACCUAAUGAUCUUAUUUCUUUCUCUCAUCUUGUGUUAUCCGAAAUCAAAGACUUCGUGUUUUCAUCAUUGAUGCUUUCUUUCCUCUCAUUCGCUUUGUUAUUUUUAUUACUUAAAGUUACAUCUUCACAACCACGUUUUAAUGCAGUUGCUUGAUUGACGUUUGAUUUUGGCAUCCCCUCUAUGAAUUGUUCUUAUUGAUCAACAAUGGCGAUCCAAGUGAACUGCUCUCAUUCCAACACUCUUCCCAAGAACGCUUCUCUUUUGUACGUUGUUUUUAUCUUUUUUUUUUUUUUUUUUUGAAUAAAUGUUAAAUGUUUUUAUAUUGGUGGUCUGUUUCUAAUGCGUGAUCAAAGAUUAACAAUCUAAUAAAUAUAGAAUUAGGGUUUCUUUUUAUAAUUUUAUGAAAGUAGUUGAUGCACUUGUAUCAUGUACAAUUUCUUGGUAAAUUUCAUCAUUAUUUAUUUCUACAGAAUUAGGGUUUCGUUUUUUAAAGAGUUGUUUCUUCAUAAAAAUUGAUAAUUCAAGACGCCUACUACGUUAUUUAAUCGACACUUUGGUAACAUUCAUGUGUUUGAAUUUGAUUUUAGAUUGGAAUCUUGGAAACCAAGUUAUGACUAUUUUUUUUUUUAUCUUUUGGGAGCAAUAGGAUUACUCUCCCUUAUAGCAUCCCUAUACCUUUGAAACCAUAGGAUCGACACCUAAACAAUAAUGUUAUUGUUAGGUCCCUUUCCAAGUAAAGGUGUUGGUAGUAUUAGUAUAUUUUACCAUGUCUAUUCAAAUUUAUAAUUCCCUCGUUUAAUAUUUUUAGUUUCCCUUUUGGGUCUUUUUCCCUUAAGAAUUAGAGGAUCAAUACCCAAAAUAUAAUGUUAUUGUUCCCUUUGCAAUUUAUAAUUCCUUUGUUUAUUUCUUACUUUUGGUCUCUUUUGAUUAUUCGACGGUGGAACACUUAAUAUAGAUUUAUUCUCUUUUGUGUAUCAUUCUCUUAAGCUAUCGUUGGUUAAAUAGACAUGUUAUUUUUCAGCAAUUCUCCACUAACUAUGCUUGUCGCUCUUAUUAUUUCCAGAACUAGCAAAAAGCAGAAUGUAUCAAUUGAAAGAGGAGAACAAUCGUUGAAAUAAUUGAUCAUAAAGAAGACUCAAAGUCAUGAAAAUGUUACAGAAAGGAAACUAUUUCAAGAUUCCAUGAAGAAAGCUUCAAUUUCUGCUGAAAAUCAAGAUGGAAAAGAAAACAAAUGUUUCAUUCAGGUGCAGACUUCACGUCUUUAGUGCAUCAAAGAAUUCAGCAGCUGCUAAAUUUGGAUCACUAUCUCAGCUGGAAUCUUCAUAAGAAAUUUGCAAUUUGGAAUUUUCAAGUUGUGGAGACUUUAUUUUUGGAUCUACAACAAAUAUGUAAAAAGUUAAUGUCGUUAGCUUUUUAGAGUCUGCUUAUAAUUUUACCUUUUUACUGUUUCUGUGUGUAUAGGUUUGGUUUGAAUUAGAUCGCGCUCCUGUGUGUUAUAUGCAAAAUGUAAUAUCGUUAUAAAUUGCGGUGAAAACAAUUAUUGACAUGAAUUCAAUUAAAAAACAAUGUACGAUAAAUUACUCAAGUUAAAAU
rnacentral:lncRNA from 1 species